GGUUGCGUAGCUCAGGUGGUAGAGCGCCGGUCUUAUAAGCCGAUGCGGUCGCGGGUUCGAGUCCCGCGGCAACCA
rnacentral:tRNA from 2 species